UACGUAGGGCGCAAGCGUUGUCCGGAAUUAUUGGGCGUAAAGAGCUCGUAGGCGGUUUGUCACGUCGGAUGUGAAAGCCCGGGGCUUAACCCCGGGUCUGCAUUCGAUACGGGCAGACUAGAGUGUGGUAGGGGAGAUCGGAAUUCCUGGUGUAGCGGUGAAAUGCGCAGAUAUCAGGAGGAACACCGGUGGCGAAGGCGGAUCUCUGGGCCAUUACUGACGCUGAGGAGCGAAAGCGCGGGGAGCGAACAGG
rnacentral:rRNA from 1 species